GAUGAACGCUGGCGGCGUGCUUAACACAUGCAAGUCGAACGAGAAAUGUAGACGGAAACCUUCGGGCGGAAGCCUUCAUUUCGAGUGGCGGACGGGUGAGUAACGCGUGGGUAACCUGCCUCAUACAGGGGGAUAACAGUUGGAAACGACUGUUAAUACCGCAUAAGACCACAGCAUCGCAUGAUGCGGGGGUAAAAACUCCGGUGGUAUGAGAUGGACCCGCGUUCGAUUAGCCAGUUGGCGGGGUAACGGCCCACCAAAGCGACGAGCGGUAGCCGAUCUGAGAGGAUGACCGGCCACAUUGGGACUGAGACACGGCCCAAACUCCUACGGGAGGCAGCAGUGGGGAAUAUUGCACAAUGGGGGAAACCCUGAUGCAGCGACGCCGCGUGAGUGAAGAAGUACUUCGGUAUGUAAAGCUCUAUCAGCAGGGAAGAAAAUGACGGUACCUGAGUAAGAAGCCCGGCUAACUACGUG
rnacentral:rRNA from 1 species